rnacentral:rRNA from 1 species
AGCUAAAAGUCUAUAUAUUUUUAGUAUAGCCUGCCCAGUGAGAUUUUUUAACGGCCGCAGUACCUUGACUGUGCUAAGGUAGCAUAAUAAAUUGGCUUUUAAUUAGAGUCUAGAAUGAAUGGAAUUUUAAAAAUUAGCUGUCAUAAUAAUUAUUUGCUUUAACUUUUUUAUUUGGUGAAAAUACCAAAGUUAUUAGAAAAAAGACGAGAAGACCCUAAGAAUUUAUAUUUUUUUUUGUUGGGGCGACAAGUAGAUAUUAUUAAACUCUAUUAAAAGUUUUAUAAAAUAUAUAACGAAUCUAUAUUAAUUAUAAAUAAAUUACCUUAGGGAUAACAGCAUAAUUAGUUAUUUAACUGUUUAUGACCUCGAUGUUGGACUAGAAAAUUUAUUUACUAGCUGUUAAUAAUUACUGUUCUGUUCGAACAUUUAUUUUCU